GUGAAUCAUCAAAUUUUUGAACGCAAAUUGCACUCUCCUCGGAGAGUAUGCCUGUUUGAGGGUCAGCCUAUAAAAAAUCGACAUCGUCGCUGUUUCGCGGUGGCGUUCGUCGGAAAUUGGGUCAUCUUAAAUCUUUUGGUUUUUUGAGCUUCUUAAUAUUUUUUUUGUUGUUAUUAGCGCUUCUAUGA
rnacentral:misc_RNA from 1 species